CUUAUCAAUCCAUAAUUUAUAAAACAGGUUUCGAUUUGGUAGAUUUUACACCUACCCNUUUUUUGGAAAUGAAAGAUAUAAACAAUAGAAAUAUUAAAUCAAUAGAAAUAUUAAAUCUUUACUUUAUCUUUAUCCAAAAAAAUUUUUGGUGNAAAAAAUUAUUUAUAAUCCNUAUUUUUCAAAAUAAAAAAAAAANCUGAAAAAANUGGAGAAUUUCUACUACUUAGUUUAGAAAAAAAAANUCGUCUUUUUUCUAUAUUAAUUUUUAAAAAUUAACGAGAAUCAAGUGUAUUAAUCCUCUAGGUAUACUUACGCAAUAUACCUUUAUUUAUAUUAUAUUUUNAUAAACCUCCAGGUAUACUUACCCNAAUAGAGAUAUUUUAGAGACUACUAUACUCUAGUAGUAUAUUUUUUUCCUUACCCAAUAUAUUAGUCUAAAAAACUAAUAUAUUGGGUAUAUUGGGUAUUUAUCAAAUUAAUAUUCAAAUUUUUAAUAUAAUGAACAAUWCAAAASAUCYAG
rnacentral:misc_RNA from 1 species